AGGUUAAGAUGCCACUUCCUGAUAUGAUGGCUACUGUGCUGGCUAUGGAUGAAUCAGUAUUAGAUGUAGAUCAGGUGAAAAAUCUCAUUAAGUUUUGUCCUACCAAAGAAGAGAUGGAACUUUUGAAGGUAAAGAUUAACAAACUUAUCAUACUUAAUUCUUACAUCUUGUUUUGUCAGCUAAGGUUUCUCAUUUGGCGUCUGCUGUUACGGAAACAUAUCUUUUACUCUGGUUUGUUUGCUUUUCUAAUUUUGAUUCCCCUUGUUUAUGAAGGGAUACACUGGUGACAAAGAGAAUUUGGAAAAAUGCGAAUAGUAUUUUUUAUAGCUGAUGAAGGUGCCACGAGUAGAGUCAAAGUUAAGAGUAUUCUCUUUCAAGAUUCAAUUUCUGUCUCAGGUCCGAAAGUCUAUCAAGUUGAAGAUCAUGAAGAAAAUUCUUUUUUUUGGGUAAUACAUUAAAUCAAGGAACAGCUAGUGGUUCUAGUUGAUAGGUCGCCUGGACUGCUUGACUUCCACUUAGACCUUGUAAGCCUGGAAGCUAUGACUAAGUAGUAGUAGUUGGAGGAGUAAUAAUUCAAGAUUGGCUUGUGUAGGAGAGUUUAACUUUUCAAAUGUGAAGAGAAUAGGGAAACUUUGUGGCAGCAGUUCUGAUUUUGGCAUUGUGGUGGGAGGCAGGGGAUUUUUGUCUAGCUGCUAGGGUGAUGAUUUUUUAAAUUAUAGCUCUUUAUCUUAUGGUUUAUAGCUUAUACUUUUUUAUCUUUGAAUUCUAAUUUUGGAUUUGUGAAACACUACUAUGCAUUGGUGAAACUUGUACACGGUACAGAAAGGAUUAAUGAUAUCAGUCAUUGAUAGUUU